GACGAACGCUGGCGGCGUGCUUAACACAUGCAAGUCGAACGGAAAGGCGCUGCUUUUGUGGGGUGCUCGAUUGGCGAACGGGUGAGUAACACGUGAGUAACCUGCCCUUGACUUUGGGAUAACUUCAGGAAACUGGGGCUAAUACCGGAUAGGAGCUCCUGCUGCAUGGUGGGGGUUGGAAAGUUUCGGCGGUUGGGGAUAGACUCGCGGCUUAUCAGCUUGUUGGUGGGGUAGUGGCUUACCAAGGCUUUGAAGGGUAGCCGGCCUGAGAGGGUGACCGGCCACAUUGGUACUGCGGUACGGCCCAGACUCCUACGGGAGGCAGCAGUGGGGAGUAUUGCAGAAUGGGCGGAAGCGUGAUGCAGCAACGCCGCGUGCGGGAUGACGGCCUUCGGGUUGUAAACCGCUUUCGACUGUGACGAAGCGUGAGUGACGGUAAUGGGUAAAGAAGCACCGGCUAACUACGUG
rnacentral:rRNA from 1 species